rnacentral:rRNA from 1 species
AACGAACGCUGGCGGCAUGCCUAACACAUGCAAGUCGAACGAAGGCUUCGGCCUUAGUGGCGCACGGGUGCGUAACGCGUGGGAAUCUGCCCUUUGGUUCGGAAUAACAGCUGGAAACGGCUGCUAAUACCGGAUGAUGACGAAAGUCCCAAGAUUUAUCGCCAGAGGAUGAGCCCGCGUUGGAUUAGGUAGUUGGUGGGGUAAAGGCCUACCAAGCCGACGAUCCAUAGCUGGUCUGAGAGGAUGAUCAGCCACACUGGGACUGAGACACGGCCCAGACUCCUACGGGAGGGAGGAGUGGGGAAUACUGGAAAACGGGGGCAAGCCUGAUCCAGCAAGGCCGCGUGAGUGAUGAAGGCGCGAGGGUUGUAAAGCUCUUUUACCCGGGAAGAUAAUGACGGUACCGGGAGAAUAAGCCCCGGCUAACUCCGUG